CUAUUGGUCAGUACACCUGCUUGCAAUCUCAAAAAAAUAAAAUAAAAAACAAAAAUAAAAAAUAAAAAUAAAAUGCCUUUUUAAAUGUUUUAAAAUUUUUAUUGAAAUGUAAUUGAUUUACAACAUGUUAGUUUCAGGUGUACAGCAAAGUGAUUCAGUUACACACACACACACACACACACACACACACACAUGUUCCUUUCCAGAUUCUUUUCCGUUAUUGGUUAUUACAAGAUAUUGAGGAGAAUUUUCUGUACUACAAGUAGGUCCUUAUUGGUUGUUGUUGUUGUUGUUGUUUUUCUCCUUUUUUAGCAACCCUGCAGCAUAUGGAGUUCCCAGGCCAGGGAUCAGAUCCAAGUUGCAGUUGUGACCUAAGCCGAAGCUGUGGCAAUGCUGGAUCCUUAACCUACUGUGCUGGGCUGGGGAUUGAACCUGUGUUCCAGCGCUCCCAAGACGCUGCCAAUCCUAUUGUGACACAGCAGGAGCUCUGGCUAUUGAUUUUACAUAUGGUAGUAUGUAUGUUUUAAAAGUUUGGGAUUAAAAUAUCCUUUUGCUUAUUUUCUAGAUCUGGCAGUCACCUGUUCCUGGUUUUGGCAUUUGUGGUCAUGGAAGAAUCCAGAGCACUUUGUGUAAAGAGUGAUGGAGCUGGAGGUGCACGCUACCCUACCUGAAGGAUUUUGGUUGUAGCCACUAGGAGUGCAUGAGCUGCAAGAGAACUGUCUUGGCCGGGGUCAUGGCUUUCCCAUGUGGCCCAGCUCCAGUGAUUGGUCAUGGUAGAGACACAAAGACAUGGCCAGUUUGGAUCAACACAGGAAAGGACUGUGUCCCAAGGGGCCGCAAGAUCUCCCCAGCAUGUCCUGGAAGGAGCUUUCAUCUCAGGGAUGCAGAUGUAAUAAGAAAAAGAGCGCUGAAAGUUUGGACUGACCGGCUAAAGAGGAAGGUAAGAUUUUGCUGGGAAGAGGACUCUUAGGGGUCAUGAAGAUGAAGCCUCCAGAGCUUAGUCUGGAAAAUAAAUGUUUUUUCAAAAAAGAAUUAAAUUGCUUG
rnacentral:lncRNA from 1 species